GAAAUGCGACAAGUAAUGUGAAUUGCAGAAUUCAGUGAAUCAUCGAAUCUUUGAACGCACCUUGCGCUCCUUGGUAUUCCUUGGAGCAUGCCUGUUUGAGUAUCAUGAAAUCUUCAAAGUAAAUCUUUUGUUAACUCAAUUGGUUUCUACUUUGGUAUUGGAGGUCUUUGCAGCUUCACACCUGCUCCUCUUUGUUCAUUAGCUGGAUCUCAGUGUUAUGCUUGGUUCCACUCGGCGUGAUAAGUUAUCUAUCGCUGAGGACACUGUAAAAGGUGGCCAAGGUAAAUGCAGAUGAACCGCUUCUAAUAGUCCAUUGACUUGGACAAUACUUUUAUGAUCUGAACUCAAAUCAGGUAGGACUACCCGCUGAACUUAAGC
rnacentral:misc_RNA from 1 species